rnacentral:rRNA from 1 species
GAUGAACGCUGGCGGCGUGCCUAAUACAUGCAAGUCGAGCGAACGGACGAGAAGCUUGCUUCUCUGAUGUUAGCGGCGGACGGGUGAGUAACACGUGGAUAACCUACCUAUAAGAAUGGGAUAACUUCGGGAAACCGGAGCUAAUACCGGAUAAUAUUUUGAACCGCAUGGUUCAAAAGUAGAAGAAGGUAUUGCUGUCACUUAUAGCUUAAUCCGCGUUGCAUUAGCUAGUUGGUAAAGUAAGUGCUUACCAAGGCAACGAUGGAUAGACGACCCCAAAGGGACAUCGCCCACACUGGAAGUGAGACUGGGUAGCGACUCCUGGGGGAAGAAGCAGCAGGGAAUCCUACGGAAUGGGGCAAAGCCUGAUGUAGCACAGUCGGGUGAGUGAUGAAGCUCUUAGGCUCGUAAAACUCUGUUAUUAUGGAAGAAGAUAUGUGCAAGUACCUGUGCACAUAUUGACGGUACCUAAUCAGAAAGCCACGGCUAACUACGUG